ensembl:antisense Gm13703 predicted gene 13703
CAGGAGUCUGGCAAAUGUGAGCCUAACAGUUCUCUGCUUUUUCCAAGCACACAGGGCCGGAGCGCUGGCAGGUUCUCAGGCAGGCUGUUCUCCAUAAGUCACCUUAUCAGAAGCACGCCCACGAGGAGAGCAGGGAUCCUGUAAGCAGGGCCAUAUAAACAAAGAGUGAGCCAACAGAAGCUGCCUAUGGACACCGGGAAGCGGACACCGGGGGACACCGGGAAGCGGACACCGGGAAGCGGACACCGGGAAGCGGACACCGGGAAGCGGACACCGGGAAGCGGACACCGGGAAGCAGACACCGGGAAGCUGACACCGGAAGCCGCCACUUACCCCCAGCCAGAGAUGAUGAUGAUUCCCACCGGGAGCUGAACGCUCUCGCGCUUCUUUAAAAGAAAUAAAGAAACUGCUAGAAGGCCUAGAAACAAGAAACCAAGAUUAUAAACGAUGAUUACUCUUAAUCGUGGUGUGGAAGCUGCAGCACUUUACUCUGUGAGAG